rnacentral:rRNA from 1 species
GAUGAACGCUAGCUACAGGCUUAACACAUGCAAGUCCAGGGGAAACGAUAGAGAAAGCUUGCUUUUUCUAGGCGUCGACCGGCGCACGGGUGAGUAACGCGUAUCCAACCUGCCCACCACUUGGGGAUAACCUUGCGAAAGUAAGACUAAUACCCAAUGAUAUCUCAAGAAGACAUCUGAAUGAGAUUAAAGAUUUAUCGGUGAUGGAUGGGGAUGCGUCUGAUUAGCUUGUUGGCGGGGUAACGGCCCACCAAGGCGACGACCAGUAGGGGUUCUGAGAGGAAGGUCCCCCACAUUGGAACUGAGACACGGUCCAAACUCCUACGGGAGGCAGCAGUGAGGAAUAUUGGUCAAUGGGCGAGAGCCUGAACCAGCCAAGUAGCGUGCAGGAUGACGGCCCUAUGGGUUGUAAACUGCUUUUAUAAGGGAAUAAAGUGAGUCUCGUGAGACUUUUUGCAUGUACCUUAUGAAUAAGGACCGGCUAAUUCCGUGCCAGCCGCCGCCGUAA